GACGAACGCUGGCGGCGUGCUUAACACAUGCAAGUCGAACGGAAAGGCCCUGCUUUUGUGGGGUGCUCGAGUGGCGAACGGGUGAGUAACGCGUGAGUAACCUGCCCUUGACUUUGGGAUAACUUCAGGAAACUGGGGCUAAUACCGGAUAGGAGCUCCUGCUGCAUGGUGGGGGUUGGAAAGUUUCGGCGGUUGGGGAUGGACUCGCGGCUUAUCAGCUUGUUGGUGGGGUAGUGGCUUACCAAGGCUUUGACGGGUAGCCGGCCUGAGAGGGUGACCGGCCACAUUGGGACUGAGAUACGGCCCAGGCUCCUACGGGAGGCAGCAGUGGGGAAUAUUGCACAAUGGGCGGAAGCCUGAUGCAGCAACGCCGCGUGCGGGAUGACGGCCUUCGGGUUGUAAACCGCUUUCGCCUGUGACGAAGCGUGAGUGACGGUAAUGGGUAAAGAAGCACCGGCUAACUACGUGCCAGCAGCCGCGGUGAUACGUAGGGUGCGAGCGUUGUCCGGAUUUAUUGGGCGUAAAGGGCUCGUAGGUGGUUGAUCGCGUCGGAAGUGUAAUCUUGGGGCUUAACCCUGAGCGUGCUUUCGAUACGGGUUGACUUGAGGAAGGUAGGGGAGAAUGGAAUUCCUGGUGGAGCGGUGGAAUGCGCAGAUAUCAGGAGGAACACCAGUGGCGAAGGCGGUUCUCUGGGCCUUUCCUGACGCUGAGGAGCGAAAGCGUGGGGAGCGAACAGGCUUAGAUACCCUGGUAGUCCACGCUGUAAACGGUGGGUACUAGGUGUGGGGUCCAUUCCACGGGUUCCGUGCCGUAGCUAACGCUUUAAGUACCCCGCCUGGGGAGUACGGCCGCAAGGCUAAAACUCAAAGGAAUUGACGGGGCCCCGCACAAGCGGCGGAGCAUGCGGAUUAAUUCGAUGCAACGCGUAGAACCUUACCUGGGUUGACAUGGAUCGGGAGCGCUCAGAGAUGGGUGUGCCUCUUUUGGGGUCGGUUCACAGGUGGUGCAUGGCUGUCGUCAGCUCGUGUCGUGAGAUGUUGGGUUAAGUCCCGCAACGAGCGCAACCCUUGUUCACUGUUGCCAGCACGUUAUGGUGGGGACUCAGUGGAGACCGCCGGGGUCAACUCGGAGGAAGGUGGGGAUGACGUCAAGUCAUCAUGCCCCUUAUGUCCAGGGCUUCACGCAUGCUACAAUGGCUGGUACAGAGAGUGGCGAGCCUGUGAGGGUGAGCGAAUCUCGGAAAGCCGGUCUCAGUUCGGAUUGGGGUCUGCAACUCGACCUCAUGAAGUCGGAGUCGCUAGUAAUCGCAGAUCAGCAACGCUGCGGUGAAUACGUUCCCGGGGCU
rnacentral:rRNA from 1 species